rnacentral:rRNA from 1 species
UACGUAGGGUGCGAGCGUUAAUCGGAAUUACUGGGCGUAAAGCGUGCGCAGGCGGUUUUGUAAGCCAGAUGUGAAAAUCCCCGGGCUCAACCUGGGAAUGGCAUUUGGGACUGCAAGGCUGGAGUUUGGCAGAGGAGACUGGAAUUCCUGGUGUAGCGGUGAAAUGCGCAGAUAUCAGGAGAACACCCGUGGCAAGGCGGCUC